AGUGAACGCUGGCGGUAGGCCUAACACAUGCAAGUCGAACGGCAGCACAGUAAGAGCUUGCUCUUACGGGUGGCGAGUGGCGGACGGGUGAGGAAUACAUCGGAAUCUACUUUUUCGUGGGGGAUAACGUAGGGAAACUUACGCUAAUACCGCAUAUGAUCUACGGGUGAAAGCAGGGGAUCUUCGGACCUUGCGCGAUUGAAUGAGCCGAUUUCGGAUUAGCUAGUUGGCGGGGUAAAGGCCCACCAAGGCGACGAUCCGUAGCUGGUCUGAGAGGAUGGUCGGCCACACUGGAACUGAGACACGGUCCAGGCUCCUACGGGAGGCAGCAGUGGGGAAUAUUGGACAAUGGGCGCAAGCCUGAUCCAGCCAUACCGCGUGGGUGAAGGAGGCCUUCGGGUUGUAAAGCCCUUUUGUUGGGAAAGAAAAGCAGCAGGUUAAUACCCCGCUGUUCUGACGGUACCCAAAGAAUAAGCACCGGCUAACUUCGU
rnacentral:rRNA from 1 species